AGUUGGGGCUUAAAUUCCAUCUGCUCCCGUUCUCUUUUCCCCUUUUCCGUUCUCACAACCUCCCAGUUCUCUCCACCUCCCACUGGUACUGCAUCUUCAAAUACCAUCCAUACCCCAUCUUCAAAUUCCACCUAUAUAUUGAUAAUCCUCAGUUUAUUUUCAUUUUAAGAAUGUGUUAGCAUUUAGCCGAACACUUUCUCUUUAUUUUAGCUGCCGACAAUCCUUCUCAAAUCAUUCUCUCUGUUGUGCCAUUUCUAGCAAAUCUCCUCUAAUCGUUAGAAGCUAUCGUUGAUGAUGAAAGGGAAGAUCAAAAACUAUCGCUGUUGUCCUACUUUCCUUUUUUAUUAAACCUCACCCAAGGCAAAUGUCGCCCCAACCAAAAUCGACGAUAGCUCAUGAAGUGUUACUCAUCCAAAGACGACAAUGACUUCGGCGAUUGCCAUUCAGUGGUACCUCAACAUCGACGCCAGAAAUUGGCCUCCUAAUCUUCUCAAGAAUCUCCACCUCCUUUCACCGAAUCAUAUUGAAUUGGCAAAGAUGUUGUUGGAGAUGGGAUAGAGCCAUUUGUUUCAUUAUUGGGCAAAGCCUGGCGUCGAGUACAACCAAAAGAAAGCCUUUAUCGUUCAAGUUUCUAUCUCUGUUUUUUAAGCUGUGAAAUUAUUAUUAAAAAAUUUAAUUAUCAAAUUUGGAUUUUUAUUUUUU